rnacentral:pre_miRNA from 1 species
AUACUACUCCCUCCGUCCGAAAAAGCUUGUCCCAAUCUUGUCCCUCAAAUGGAUGUAUCUAGCGCUAACUUGGUGCUAGAUACAUCCAUUUGAGGGACAAGCUUUUUCGGACGGAGGGAGUACACG